rnacentral:tRNA from 1 species
UGGGGUAUCGCCAAGCGGUAAGGCACCGGUUUUUGAUACCGGCAUUCCCUCGGUUCGAAUCCGAGUACCCCAGCCA